GAUGAACGCUAGCGAUAGGCUUAACACAUGCAAGUCGAGGGGCAGCAUGUCCUUAGCUUGCUAAGACUGAUGGCGACCGGCGCACGGGUGCGUAAUGCGUAUGCAACUUGCCUCACAUAGGUGGAUAACCCUUCGAAAGACAGACUAAUACCGCGUACACUCCAUCUUGGGCAUCCGAGGUAGAGGAAAUGAAAUUCGCUGUGAGAUAGGCAUGCGUCGCAUUAGCUAGUUGGUGAGGUAACGGCUCACCACGGCGACGAUGGGUAGGGGAAGUGAGAGGGUGAGCCCCAACGCGGGUACGGAGACACGGACAAGGCGACUACGGGAAGAAGCAGUGAGGAAUAUUGGUCAAGGGGCGAGAGCCUGAACCAGCCAAGUCGCGUGAAGGAUGACUGUCUUAGGGAUUGUAAACUUCUGUUGUACGGGAAUAACAAGAGUCACGAGUGACUCCCUGAAUGUACCGUAUGAAUAAGCAUCGGCUAACUACGUG
rnacentral:rRNA from 1 species